ACGGUCAUGAAGAGUCUGACGUUAUUGAACAAUAGAAUUAGGUGAAAAAGAUAUUUUGUGAGAUAUGGGAAAUUGAGAGAGGUGGAAGAAGGAAGGCCUGAGAACCACUCUGAGAUCCACCUAUAAAUUUACUGAUAAUUGUCUUUAAGAUGUUCCCUAAAUGUGUAUUCUUUGCUUUCUUCCCAGCUACUUGAAAUCUUUUGAGGAAUCAGCAAAAAUGAUUGUUUUAGGACAAAAUCAGGAAUGAAUUUCUCCAAAGUCAUGCAUUCAGACUCAAGACUGGAACUUUGGUUUUCCUUGACCCCAUAUAUCUAUCCUUUACACCAAACUGCAUAAGAUUUGGCUAUUUAUGUCCCAAUCACUUAAGAUCUGCUUCUGGAAGAAAGCAUCUUCUGUUUCCCUACUAUGGCCCAGCAGAAAAGCCCAGAAAAGCCAGGGUUCUGAGAUAUAAGCCCAAGAAGCUUUGGGUUUGGAACUUGGAGGGACGGAUGCUAGAACUGGAACUGAGCUAAGCUGUGAACUUCAUUCCUCACCCCAUCCCAAUAUGUAAAGAGGAAUUAAUGUACAAUGUUUGUUCUUGCUAUACUUUUGAA